UUAAAUUGAAGAGUUUGAUCAUGGCUCAGAUUGAACGCUGGCGGCAGGCCUAACACAUGCAAGUCGAACGGUAACAGGAAUCAGCUUGCUGAUUUGCUGACGAGUGGCGGACGGGUGAGUAAUGUCUGGGAAACUGCCUGAUGGAGGGGGAUA
rnacentral:rRNA from 1 species